rnacentral:misc_RNA from 1 species
CGCACCUUGCGCUCCCUGGUAUUCCGGGGAGCAUGCCUGUUUGAGUGUCGUGAAGUCAUCAUGGUCAUGAUCUUUAAUUAAUCAUGGCUUGGAUUUGGAGGUAUGUUGGCUUUCAGUCAACUCCUCUUAAAUACAUUAGCUCAGUGUUAAUGCUUGGAGCGGUUCACAGUGUGAUAAUUAUCUACACUUCGACUAAUCCAAGUUAGCUGGCUUCUAAUCGAUCCUUAGUGAUCAUUUUGUGUAUUUGACCUCAAAUCAGGUAGGACUACCCGCUGAACUUAA